ACUGUUGAUUGGUUUUGCCACUGAGGCAAGACUUUGCCAUCAAGUCUAAGAACAGAGGGAAGGACCACGUGUGAAAGCUGCUGCAGAUGAGCAGAUGUCUCAACCCAUCAGUGGCCUUACUGGUUUCUUUCCUGAGCAUAAGGGCAAAGGAGUUUUAGGAAAGGGUCUGAAAACCAGCUGACUUUGUGGAUAUUUGCAGCCAGCUCUUCCCAAUACAGGGAGUCCCACAGACGUGGUUGCUUACGAAUGUAACACUUCAACACAGAUGGGUGAUAGGGGGAGUCUGUCUCUGGGUACUGGCUGGGAGACGAGACUCAGCUGUGAAAUGAAGCCUGGUGCCUUAUGUUUGACGAGGCAGAGGUGGGGCAAAGAGGGAAGGCUGUAACACAAUCAAAACAGCAAGGCUGGGAAAUGAUCUUCGGAUGGCAUUCUCAAUCACUGUGAGCAGGAGAAAUUGUAUUUGUCAAGUAGAGAGGGAAGCCUGUGGCUUCUGUGGUCUACUGUGCUUCAUCCAGACCAGGACUGAACAGGCCUUUUAAUCUAUGCUGUACUCACUUUACUAGACAGAUUUAUAUAUUGUAUAAGUGUUACAGAAAGGUUCCCGAGCCAGUAUUUGUUCUAAAUCCUUCCCUUUUCAUUUACUUUUUAUUGUGCUCACAAGCGACCAUUAAAACCAGGAUCUCACAGAUCUAGUGGAUACCUGAACAUUACAGCCACAUUGUUACAGCUACAGAGGAUGUGAGAAAAGAGCAGACUCGUCCAGUUAGCUCAUUUCUGUGGCUGCUUAGCACUAAGGCCACGCUGGCAGAGAAGGGCGUCCCUGUGUUCAUUUCCUUCACCUGCCUGUGCUCAGUGCUCCCCUCUGCUGUCUACAGAAAUUGAGUGGUCUUUGGGUGAGCCAGGGCAGACCACAGAUGUGGUCACUGGGUUUUUGUCUGUCCCUGGUAUAAAGGCUGCUGCUGAAUUAAAGAAGAGGUGCUUUCAAGACAGAAGGAGCUUGUCCCUGGACCCUCAUCCACAGGAGAGUGACAUCCAAUUUCUCCCACGCUGCAGAAAAACUUGGAGUCAGCCAUGACUAUGUUGAUCUACUUAGCUUUACUGCAUGAAAACUGUAAUAAUAAUAACACUGGUGCAGUGCUGAGCAAGGUUUUCUGCUGCUGCAAUCAUGAACGUUCUGCCAGCUUUGAAGGAAAUAAUCUGUUGAUGCCAGUUCAGAAUCUGGCCUUCUUCUAAAGAAAUCAAGUAACAAUGAAAUCAUCAAUGCCUCUCUUGACCAACACUGAAUUAACAUACUUCCUUUUUUUCAAGAAUAGCUCGCACUUAUCCCAAAUUUGAAUUGAUAUUCUAACUGGAAAUAUAUUUCAGUUAUUUUUCCUUGCAAUCAAUUGUUUAAAGAAAAAUAAUUGUCUUUCCAUUGUUUUAUUUCCAUUGCUUGGUUUAUGUUAUUCAAAUUUCUGCAUAGCUGGUGAGUUCACAUUCUUUCACACACUGAUUACAAAGCUAAUCAGCCAGGUGAAAUGGGACUGAAAUGCUGCCAUUUGCUCUGAUUUCUAGGAAUAUAAAUAGCAACCACAGCUCUACAUCUUGAGCAGAACUAUUCUCAGGACGCCUGCUUACAUUCACCUGAGAGCCAGCGGGCAUCUGGCUGCAAGACUUCGUGGACUCAUUUCUAGAAGUUAGACUCAAAGCAGAGAGGACAAGAAAAACAUAGCCCAAUGGGAUCUCUCCUAAAUUAGAGCUUUCAGCGUGGGAGAUCCAACAGCUCAGGGGAAUU
rnacentral:lncRNA from 1 species